rnacentral:rRNA from 1 species
UACAGAGGGGGCAAGCGUUGUUCGGAAUUACUGGGCGUAAAGGGCUCGUAGGCGGCCAACUAAGUCAGACGUGAAAUCCCUCAGCUUAACUGGGGAACUGCGUCUGAUACUGGAUGGCUUGGAUUCGGGAGAGGGAUGCGGAAUUCCAGGUGUAGCGGUGAAAUGCGUAGAUAUCUGGAGGAACACCGGUGGCGAAGGCGGCAUCCUGGACCGAUAUUGACGCUGAGGAGCGAAAGCCAGGGGAGCAAACGGG